UACGGAGGGUGCAAGCGUUAUCCGGAUUCACUGGGUUUAAAGGGUGCGUAGGCGGGCAUGUAAGUCCGUGGUGAAAUCUCUGAGCUUAACUCAGAAACUGCCGUGGAUACUAUUUGUCUUGAAUAUUGUGGAGGUGAGCGGAAUAUGUCAUGUAGCGGUGAAAUGCUUAGAUAUGACAUAGAACACCAAUUGCGAAGGCAGCUCACUACACAAUUAUUGACGCUGAGGCACGAAAGCGUGGGGAUCAAACAGG
rnacentral:rRNA from 1 species